AUGCUUGUUUGUCCAUGCUAGGAGAUGAACCAUCCCAUAUAGUGUUCCUCAUUCUCAUUGUGUGUGACAUCAAACCUAGGCCCCUCCUGAUCUUUUUUUUUUUGUUUAUUUGUACAAGUAAGCUACAAAUUGACUUCAUUAAAACUUUAUGAAGAAGGUCACAUGCAUUUUUUGAAAACUUUGAUUAAUAACUGAAAUGGUCUAAAAAACCAAUUGUUUUGAAUAAAUAUUAAAGUUCAAUCUGAUGUAAUGUUUUUAAAACUAUUUCAUACAUCAUUAAUUUAAAAAAUGUAAAAUUGUUAUGACAUUGAAUUCCUGGAUGUAUUCCUUUUGUUCUUGUCAGUCCCCUCUGACUUCAAUUAUUAUUUCCUUGUCUGUAUAUUAUUUUUGGUCUCUUAUGGUUCAAUUAUUUGUGCUAUGUUAUUGUUUUAAUGUAAAAAAAAAAAGCCAUUAUGUGUAGUGUGGUUUCACUACACCCAAGUAGCCAGUUUAAAUACUGCCCUAUAUAUUUUGUCCAGCUAAUGUCAUGCAGUGAUCAGUUUCUUUGAACCCUGUGAUCUCUAUUUAUAUUGUUUAUUUCAUUUCCUUGCAACAUACAUUGGUCUCGACUCUGACAUUUUAGCGUGUACUUUAUAUGAGAGUUACUUGAUUAUUUUAUGAAAUGUUUUAUUUGAUUCUUCUGCUUUCAUCCACUUCACGAAGAGCUCUAAGUGAUUUAUACAAUAAGUGAAUACAUACAAUCUGAUUCUCAACUGGGUUUUUCAAUCUUAAUGUAUUUAGAACAAUUAUAUUAAAAGCUUUGUAGUCGUUUUUUUUUAAUUGCUUGAAACGACAAAAAAAAAAAAAAUUUAAAAAAA